rnacentral:rRNA from 1 species
GACGAACGCUGGCGGCGUGCCUAAUACAUGCCAGUAGAACGCACAGUUUAUACCGUAGCUUGCUACACCAUAAACUGUGAGUUGCGAACGGGUGAGUAACGCGUAGGUAACCUGCCUGGUAGCGGGGGAUAACUAUUGUAAACGAUAGCUAAUACCGCAUAAUAUUAAUUAUUGCAUGAUAAUUGAUUGAAAGAUGCAAUUGCAUCACUACCAGAUGGACCUGCGUUGUAUUAGCUAGUAGGUGAGGUAACGGCUCACCUAGGCGACGAUACAUAGCCGACCUGAGAGGGUGAUCGGACACACUGGGACUGAGACACGGCCCAGACUCCUACGGGAGGCAGCAGUAGGGAAUCGUCGGCAAUGGACGAAAGUCUGACCGAGCAACGCCGCGUGAGUGAAGAAGGGUUUCGGAUCGUAAAGCUCUGUUGUAAGAGAAGAACGGGAGUGAGAGUGGAAAGUUCACACUGUGACGGUAUCUUACCAGAAAGGGACGGCUAACUACGUG